CCUACGGGUGGCUGCAGUGGGGAAUAUUGCACAAAGGGCGUAAGCCUGAUGCAGCCAUGCCGCGUGUGUGAAGAAGGCCUUCGGGUUGUAAAGCACUUUCAGCGGGGAGGAAGGCGUUAAGGUUAAUAACCUUGGCGAUUGACGUUACCCGCAGAAGAAGCACCGGCUAACUCCGUGCCAGCAGCCGCGGUAAUACGGAGGGUGCAAGCGUUAAUCGGAAUUACUGGGCGUAAAGCGCACGCAGGCGGUCUGUCAAGUCGGAUGUGAAAUCCCCGGGCUCAACCUGGGAACUGCAUUCGAAACUGGCAGGCUAGAGUCUUGUAGAGGGGGGUAGAAUUCCAGGUGUAGCGGUGAAAUGCGUAGAGAUCUGGAGGAAUACCGGUGGCGAAGGCGGCCCCCUGGACAAAGACUGACGCUCAGGUGCGAAAGCGUGGGGAGCAAACAGGAUUAGAUACCCUUGUAGUC
rnacentral:rRNA from 1 species